rnacentral:rRNA from 1 species
UGGGGAAUUGUUCGCAAUGGGCGCAAGCCUGACGACGCAACGCCGCGUGGAGGAUGAAGAUCUUCGGGUCGUAAACUCCUGUCGAGCGGGACGAACACUUACCUGGCCAAUAUCCGGGUAGGCUGACGGUACCGCUAAAGGAAGCCCCGGCUAACUCCGUGCCAGCAGCCGCGGUAAUACGGGGGGGGCAAGCGUUGUUCGGAAUUACUGGGCGUAAAGGGCUCGUAGGCGGCCAACUAAGUCGGACGUGAAAUCCCCAGGCUCAACCUGGGAACUGCGUCUGAUACUGGAUGGCUUGAAUCCGGGAGAGGGAUGCAGAAUUCCAGGUGUAGCGGUGAAAUGCGUAGAUAUCUGGAGGAAUACCGGUGGCGAAGGCGGCAUCCUGGACCGGCAUUGACGCUGAGGAGCGAAAGCCAGGGGAGCAAACGGG